rnacentral:rRNA from 1 species
AGAGAGAGACAUGCGCGCAUAUCAAUAAGCGGAGGAAAAGAAACUAACUAGGAUUCCCCUAGUAACGGCGAGUGAAGCGGGAAGAGCUCAAAUUUGAAAUCUUAAAGGGUUUCCCUUUACGAAUUGUAGUUUAAAGAAGUGUUUUCUGUUGAGGUUUUGGUAAAAGUUCUUUGGAAUAGGACAUCAUAGAGGGUGAGAAUCCCGUAUUUGACCUUUACUUUCAACUUUGUGAUACACUUUCAAAGAGUCGGAUUGUUUGGGAAUGCAGUCCAAAAUGGGUGGUAAAUUUCAUCUAAAGCUAAAUAUUGGCGAGAGACCGAUAGCGAACAAGUACCGUGAGGGAAAGAUGAAAAGAACUUUGAAAAGAGAGUUAAACAGUACGUGAAAUUGUCAAAAGGGAAGCGUUUGACACCAGUGUUGUUUUUCUGAAAAUCAAUUAAAGAACUGUUUAUGCUAAGCUGUUUAGACUUUAUCAGCUAUCUGUUUAGUUUUGAGCUUCUCUUUAAUGCACUUUUCAGUUAACAAGUCAACAUCAAUUUCUUUUGCUGUAAAAAAGCUUGAGGAAGGUGGCUUGAGAUUCGUCUUAAGUGUUUAUAGCCUCUUGCCUAUGCAGUCGGAGAGAUUGAGGUCUGCAGCGUAGAUCCUUCGGGGCUAAAUGCAUUUGUGCUAAGUUAUAACAUUUUAUAGACAACUUGUUGACUAUGAUUUGUCUUGUAGCUUACUCGCUUAUGUUAUUUUACCUACGCUUAGGAUGUUGAUGUGAUACUGCGAGC